GGUCUGGUGGUCUAGUGGUAUGAUUCGCGCUUAGGGAGUUCUUCUGAACUGUCAAACCCUGAGUUUCAAAGCUUGCGCGAGGUCCCGGGUUCAAUCCCCGGCCAGACCC
rnacentral:tRNA from 1 species